UUUUUAUGGAGAGUUUGAUCCUGGCUCAGGAUGAACGCUGGCGGCGUGCCUAAUACAUGCAAGUCGAGCGAACAGACGAGGAGCUUGCUCCUCUGACGUUAGCGGCGGACGGGUGAGUAACACGUGGAUAACCUACCUAUAAGACUGGGAUAACUUCGGGAAACCGGAGCUAAUACCGGAUAAUAUAUUGAACCGCAUGGUUCAAUAGUGAAAGACGGUUUUGCUGUCACUUAUAGAUGGAUCCGCGCCGCAUUAGCUAGUUGGUAGGUAACGGCUUACAGGCGACGAUGCGUAGCCGACCUGAGAGGGUGAUCGGCCACACUGGAACUGAGACACGGUCCAGACUCCGUACGGGA
rnacentral:rRNA from 1 species